UGUAGGGCCCUAUGAAAUCCGCGAUAACGAAAACGCGGACGGAAUCACGGAAUUGGACAAUAAAAACGGAAUCAACUGAUAAUUUAUUAUUAUUAUUAUUUAUUUUUUUAUUAUUAAGCAGGAAAGUAUUAAAAGUAACAAAGUUACAAUUUAAAACGGGCCUGUCUUAGUAAAAUAACUGAUUUCCAGCAGGUUCCUGUUCUUCAGCACAUAUAACAUGCAACAGGGGACAAGGCACAUCAGACGUCACAUUUACAAUAUGCAGCGGAAUGCAGCGGAAUUCGCCAUUAUUUUGGUGAAAUUCAGUUUUGAGGGAAAAGGGAAACAACACAGGUGACAUUAACGUCACUGAAUGUUUAGCAGUCACUCGCACAACAAUGUUAAAAAAAAAUCCCCGGUCCACCACGCAAACAAUAGGUCCCGCUCCUAACAAGAAGCCGAAGAAGAAGUUGAAGCGCCCGUAAUUCGGUUCUAACCCCAAAUUCAGAGCCGAACAAUAUCCAAAACACUUCUAUCACUCAGGUGUUUUGUAGAAUAUGUCAACAUACUAUCGAUUGGAAACGCAAAGAUACGUGCGAUGACCACUUGAAGUCCAAAAUCCAUAUGAAAAACAAUGAACGCCGUAGCCAGGGCACGCCCCUUCAAACAACAAUUUGAGUUUAUAAAAAAAGUUUAUAAGCACUUUAAUAUUUAUGUCAUGUUUUUAUUUGAAGCACUAAAAACAGUGCAAUGUUGUGAUGUUUUAAUAAAUGUAGUCUUCCAUCUGAUUAAAUUGUAUUCGUUCGCACUUAUUUGACACUCGUUCUGAUGAUUUUAAGUGUAAAAACGGAAUUAAUGAAAAUUAAAACGGAAAAAACGGAAUUUGGAAAAAAAUAAAAACGGAAUUUGGAAAAAAAUAAAACGGAUUUCAUAUGGCCCUAUACUUGUAUACAUAUUUUAUCAUUGUCAAUUCUUGGAAUAUCCCCUUACUUUAGAAAGACAUGCCAGUCCUCAGAAAAUGGUGGUGCACAGUACUGCUUGAGAACUUCCACCUGGAUGGGCACGGCAGAAGGUUCGCACACUUCACGGAGGAGGCCAAACAAAUGGCGGUUGGACUACUUCCACCAGUCUUCAGACUGAAGCGAAAGAGAGAAUGAGUUGGAGCUGAUGGCAGCAUGAAGAACCUAUAUCUUUAAGAUUCUGUAGAUUAUUUGUUUAAUAAAUUGUGAGGAAA